rnacentral:rRNA from 1 species
AUUGAACGCUGGCGGCAUGCUUUUCACUUGCAAGUCGAACGGCAGCACGGACUUCGGUCUGGUGGCGAGUGGCGAACGGGUGAGUAAUACAUCGGAACGUGCCCAGUUGUGGGGGAUAACUACUCGAAAGAGUAGCUAAUACCGCAUGAGAACUGAGGUUGAAAGCAGGGGAUCGUAAGACCUUGCGCAACUGGAGCGGCCGAUGGCAGAUUAGGUAGUUGGUGGGAUAAAAGCUUACCAAGCCGACCAUCUGUAGCUGGUCUGAGCGGACGACCAGCCACACUGGGACUGAGUCACGGCCCAGGCUCCUACUGGAGGCAGCAGUGGGGAAUUUUGGACAAUGGGAGAAAGCCUGAUCCAGCAAUGCCUCGGGCAGGAUGAAGGCCUUCGGGUUGUAAACUGCUUUUGUACGGAACGAAAAGCUUCGGGCUAAUACCCUGGAUUCAUGACGGUACCGUAAGAAUAAGCACCGGCUAACUACGUGCCAGCCGCCGCCGUAACAC